ensembl:misc_RNA Metazoa_SRP Metazoan signal recognition particle RNA
GCCGGGCACGGUGGCGUGCGCCUGUAGUCCCAGCUACUCAGGAAGCUGAGGCCAGAGGAUCACUUGAGUCCAGGAGUUCUGGGCUGUUGUGCGCUAUACUGAUCGGGUGUCUGCACUAAGUUCGGCAUCAAUAUGGUGACCUCCCAGGAGCGGGGGACCACCAGGCUGCCUAAGGGGGGUGAACCGGCCCAGGUCGGAAAUGGAGCAGGUCAAAACUCCUGUGCUGAUCAGUAGAAGGAAUGAGAAAGGUACCUCUUUCUUUGGUGGCCCAUACUUUCCACUGGAAUCUCACAGAGAUCUUCAU